rnacentral:rRNA from 1 species
GACGAACGCUGGCGGCGUGCUUAACACAUGCAAGUCGAACGGAAAGGCCCUGCUUUUGUGGGGUGCUCGAGUGGCGAACGGGUGAGUAACACGUGAGUAACCUGCCCUUGACUUUGGGAUAACUUCAGGAAACUGGGGCUAAUACCGGAUAGGAGCUCCUGCUGCAUGGUGGGGGUUGGAGAGUUUCGGCGGUUGGGGAUGGACUCGCGGCUUAUCAGCUUGUUGGUGGGGUAGUGGCUUACCAAGGCUUUGACGGGUAGCCGGCCUUAGAGGGUGACCGGCCACAAUGGGACUGAGAUACGGAGCAGACGCCUACGUGAGGCAGCAGUGGGGAAUAUGACAGAAUGAGCGGAAGCCUGAUGCGACAACGCCGCGUGCGGGAUGACGUCCUUUGGGUUGUGAACCGCUUUCGCCGGUGACGAAGCGUGAGUGACGGUAAUGGGUAAAGAAGCACCGGCUAACUACGUG